UAGAAAUUGAGAGUCUAGCAGUUAGUAGUGGGGAUAGAGUCACAUUAAUAAUCAGGUGCUACAGAAGAUGCAAGAGAACAGUGUCUUGAUUCCUGGUCUUCCUGUCAUUUUCUGCAUCUCAUUUAACCUUUGGAAAGCCUGAGUUUGGAGCUGUUCUGGGAUUUUUGUGAGAAUUCUCUUUCUUACUGACCCAAGUUCCUUAAUUUAAAUUUGAGGUAGCCCUCAAAUUUAAGGGGGUCCAAUUAAGCCUCAGAUCCUUGCUUCUCAAAGGCCGGAGGUUUUCAUUGUGCAAAUAGGAACAACUUGGAUAUCAGAUCAGAAUGGAGGCAAUUAAGUGAAGAAAGGUGUAAGAUUACUGUGCCAGUUUCUCGGUAAGUGGGACCUGUCCAUCUUCUUGUGGACGCAGAGGACACGUGCCAAGAGAGGGAAGAGCUAAGAGGAAUCAUGGUGAUUCUGAGCUACCCACUUUCCAACUCCUUUGAGUCCAGUGCCAGCCUUGGCAAAAACACUGUCUCCUGAACAAAUGCUGUUUAAAAAUCCAAAGGCAGCUGUGUGGGAGCAAAGUCCAGGGUGGCAGAGAGGGACAAUGGACCCCUGCUGGCUUCCUGCCCACUGUUUUGAUCAGCCAAAGCCUGGAUUCUCCAUCCCUUCUGUGUGCAGCCAGAUGAAAGCCAGUGUCGGCACGCAUCCUGUUUGUGACGAAGGGGUGUUUACUCACAGGAUGGCGCUGGGGAGAGCCUCGACCAUGCCUCCAGCAAAUGGCCAGAUCUGGAAUUGCUCAGCAGGGACAUGAUGGAUGAAUGUAACACUGCAUCUGCAAGGACUGCUCCUAAUGAGUCACUCAUCACUCAGCAUUGGGUCCCACUGAGGGACUAUGCUGUGUCCUUAAGUGUGUGUCAUUCACAGGUCUGGGGUCAAGGAGGGCUGAAAAGAGGAGGAUAAAAUGGAGGGAGAGGCAUGCAAGAGGGAAGAGGGCCCUGCCGUGUGGGACGGCUGAGUGGGCUCAGCUGAGGAGCAGAUUGGCUGGGCACUAGGUUGGCACUGCCGCUCGAUCACCCCCUGAUGGGGCAGUGGGCAGUGAGGCCAGGCUCAAGGCUUUUUGGGGUUUGAAUCCUUUCUGUGGGAGCUUUGCCGCAUCUCUCUGAUCUUCCACUGGCCCUCACCGGGAUCCUUAUCUGGGGUUCCUCACCUUGGCUGGGAGGCCUGACCGCGCUUCUGCUUGCUGUUUGGAACUUGGACAGGCUUUAUCCUAAGGGGAGGGUCCGUAUCCAGUCCCCGACCUUGGUAAAAUGAGAGCCUCAGGUUGCUCUCACAGACCCAGAAGCCAGGGAGACAAGGAGUUGAUUCUGUCGCUACUCUGCUAAACCAACAUCCCAGCCCAAGACGGGAAAAGCCUCUGAGGGUUCUGCCGGCUGUGCCUACCGUAGAGCAGUCAUGGUCUUGUCUGCGGGGCUGGCCAACCUCCCUACACGUGGCACAGAAAGCAGCAGGAAGCCCCUUCCCUCCCCAGGUCUGGGGCUGGGGUCGCUUCUCAUGGUCACCACCACUCCCUUCAUUAGGGAGCUUCCAAAAGGCUUUAUAACAUUUUCAUCCAACUCUAAAGCAUCAAAGAAGCCGUGUCUGUAAUCCCGCUAAUCAAUCAUAUGCAUUGUUUACAUU
rnacentral:lncRNA from 1 species